CUCAGUAAAAUCAAUCAUUCAUUCGUUCAAAACUAAUUAUUAACUUCUGGUUUGUAUUUUGUUCUCAUACAAGUAGGUAGUAGUCUACCUGUUCAACGAUUUUGAAUGCUCCGCAGGUGCUAGAAGAGAAAAGUGAAAGGGGCGUGGAAGGAAGAUUAUGGCAGGAGGGAAGAGAGAGCCAUGGGUGAACAUUUAUGCUGAGCGACCUGCAGCAUGGCGUCCACCAGUAAGCCAUAUCUAUGCAUUCAAUCCAGCCAUGCACUUCUGCAGUUUAGACGUCUGGCCCUUGGUACUUGGAUUUUUUUAUUCGAGAAACGAAUGCCUCGAGGAAGGUUAAAUUCGUAAGAGGAAAAAGGCAUGAAAAAAGAGGAAGAGAAGAACUCGAUUAUGUGCAACGAAAUUUUCAGGUCACAUAACUCACUUGGAUGGGGUGGAUAGGGACUCUUAGCCAUGUGGUUGGGAUUGCAUUGUGCUCUAGCCCAAACCUUUGGCAAAGCAAACGUCUAAGGAACUAGCAUAUCUCGAUGUAGACAGCCAAAGAAUGAUAUCCUUCCGAGAUGAGGUCUCAAUAUGACAACACGAGAAGCCGAUAUCAUCCUGGCCCUCGUGAAUUGAUCAAUACACUGAUCCAUGACAAGUAAACUGGGUGCCUGCAGGAGGUGUGACACAAUAUUGCAGCUUCCUGACGGGGGAAUGCGGGGACGGGGGACCAAGGGCCUAAAUUUGGGGACAGUGAGGGGAGGGCGGGGGACGGUGGCAGAGCGGUGCUGAUAUAGAAAUAGAGGUCAAUUGAAAUCUUCAAGGCAAAAUCUGCAAUAUAACAUCUCUGUGAGGGCCCCAUGAAAGGCCAACUAGUUUUCAUGAAGUUAAAGGUUGCAAUCAGUAUGUAAUGGCAUGUGCCAUAUAGCAAGCGACCCAGCGGCAUCCCUGAUAGAGGUGGCAGAGGUGGUUCUGUGGGGGGACGUUUCCCCCAAGUCUUGGAAAUGUUCCCCUACAGGGACAUGGGUGGGCCGUUGGGAAAAGAUUGUGACAUUGGGUAUAAAUGGCUUGAUUGAAAUAUAUUAUACCACAUGGCAAGAUGGGUUGGCUGUAUUUGUUCUUAGCAUGGGAGAAUAUGUCAAAAGGUAAAUGACCUCAUAAAGCUGCAGACCAACAUCCUCAAAGUUGUCUCAUAAUUUGGAGGUGAAGUAGAUCAUGUUGAUUGAGGGAAGGGUUUAAGGGAGAUCAGUUCCUCCUUGAUGACGUUAAAUGUCUGAGAACCUUAAAGCACUGAAAUGAAAUUACAGUGACUUCAGGGAAGGCAGCCGUCUGACUAUUUUAUCGCAUGAUCAACAAAUUGUAAAAGUAGCCAACGUUGAUGAAAUGUGCAUAUUGAGGCUUUCUAACAAACAUAAAGAAAUUGAAUUUUGAGAAUAAAAUGAAAGGGCUGAUGAUAAAGAAGCAAUAAAAAGAACAUUAGCUUGCACUUCUCACCACUCAAAACCACAAAUUCUGUCCUGUGGCUCACCUACUGUUGCAUGCAAAGACCCAUAAUGCAUGUGGGAUGAUGGGGAUGGUAUGAUGGAUGGAAAAUGUUCAGGAUGUACCCAAGUGCAUCGUGAAUGCUGGAUAUGUUCUUUUUCUACGACUGAGC